AUGCACGCUGCCAGAAUGCUUAACACAUGCAGGUCUUUGGCGAAGCUGUGCUUGCACCGCCUAGCCAAGGCGGACGGGUGAGUAACGCGUAAGGAACUUGCCCUGCAGUCAGGGAUAACAGACGGAAACGACUGAUAAGACCUGGUAAAGUCAGGCGGACUCAUGUCCAGCCUGAUGAAAAGAGAUGCUGCAGGAGAGCCUUGCGUCCUAUUAGCUUGUUGGUGGGGUAACGGCCCACCAAGGCGAUGAUAGGUAGCCGGCCUGAGAGGGUGGACGGCCACAAGGGGACUGAGAUACGGCCCUUACUCCUACGGGAGGCAGCAGUGGGGAAUAGUGGACAAUGGGGGCAACCCUGAUCCAGCAAUUCUGUGUGCACGAUGAAGGUUUUCGGAUUGUAAAGUGCUUUCAGCAGGGAAGAAAAAAAUGACGGUACCUGCAGAAGAAGCGACGGCUAAAUACGUG
rnacentral:rRNA from 1 species